GUUCUUUUAGUGUAAAUACAUAUAACAUAUUACAUUUUCGUUGUAAAGAUAAAGAAACUUUAAAGAAUA
rnacentral:tRNA from 1 species